CCCUGUUACUGGAUCUACAGUACAUGGAGGGGAAAUCUGGGCAAUUCUGUUGAUCUGCUUUGUGGUGCACCAGAGAUUUCCACUCCUCAAUCAGAUUCAUUUCCCAACAACCGGAACAACCAGAGAGUUUCACUUCAUGCAAAUGAGUUUUUAAUUCCGCAGAACGAACGAGGGAUUACUCUUCCCAUUCAGGGAACGCUUGCUGUUUACCCCGGGGGCAUUCUGAAAUCGCAGCGAGCCGGCCUUGCCAAGGAUACGUAUGCGAGUGGGAUACGUUCAGCGUCCUGGCAGAGUUCACGCCAAGAAUCAACGGCGCCCCGAUUUCAGCUGGAAACGAUCAUUCGUGAGCAGAGGAACCUCAUUGGCCAAAGAUUAGCGCCGUCGGUUAACAUGACAAUCGCUCCGAUUUACCUUCCAGUAUCAUUUUUGCUGACCAGACCUUUUUCUGACUUUCUUUGUUUACAAGUAAAAAAAAAUCACAGCGCAGGAUGAAGCGUCAUGAUGUCAUCGCGGUGACUCUGAAGGUGAAGAAGGCUUUAUAGACGAUCGUUCUGCAAUGAAAUCUCAUCACUCCCACACCUUGGGGAAUUUCUCUUCACCACUGAAAGUCAUAAAAACGCCCCCGACACAUGUGGGCAGAGGAGGUGUGGGGUAGACUGGCAAAGAGGAGCAGGAACAGAAGCGGAGGAAAAGGUGUCCAAGGCUGAAACACGGACUCUACGACCUAUGACCAGUCACAGCGCAGAUAAUCAAGCCUUUGUUUUGGAGGGUCAGACGGAUCCUGAAUGCCUCGGAUGUGAAAGGAAUCGAGCAAGAAAAAAAAAACUUUUCAGUAUUAGGAAUGGAUUACCCAACAAGAAAUGUGGGCAGAGAUCGGCGGUCCCAAUAAAAAUGGCAGCAAGGAUUCUUUUCUAAUUCUUUCUGGACUGGCAGCACAGUGGAGACAACAUUCGUCCCAUCACCAAAAUCUCCAUCAACCAAUCAGAAGGCUUUAUGGAUUAAGGUUAUAUCUGCACUCUUCUCAUUGACCUGAAUUUGGAUCUAAAAAUGUUUCCACCACCAAAGACGAAGAGAAGUAAAGCAACGCCUUCAUAAAGCGUGCCAAGAUUUUGCGUCAGUGUAUUAAAGUGCGGUUCUAGAAUAUUGAAGUAUCUACAUUGAGCCAAAUAAAUACAUUACAAGCAA